GGUAGAGUGGCUGAAUUAGGUGUGGGGCUGUAAACCCCAAUAUGGAGCUGGGCUCCCUCUAUCAGCAG
rnacentral:tRNA from 1 species